rnacentral:rRNA from 1 species
CUACGGGAUGCUCCAGUGAGGAAUCUUGCGCAAUGGGGGAAACCCUGACGCAGCGACGCCGCGUGGGUGAUGAAGGCCUUCGGGUCGUAAAGCCCUGUCGAGAGGGAAGAAUUGCAUUUAGGUUAAUAGCCUAAUUGUUUGACGGUACCUCCAAAGGAAGCACCGGCUAACUCCGUGCCAGCAGCCGCGGUAAUACGGGGGGUGCAAGCGUUGUUCGGAAUCACUGGGCGUAAAGGGCGUGUAGGCGGCUGAGUAAGUCAGGUGUGAAAUCCCUCGGCUCAACCGAGGAAGUGCAUUUGAUACUGCUCAUCUUGAGUACUGGAGAGGGAGGUGGAAUUCCCGGUGUAGAGGUGAAAUUCGUAGAUAUCGGGAGGAACACCAGUGGCGAAGGCGAUCUCCUGGACAGAUACUGACGCUAAGGCGCGAAAGCGUGGGGAGCAAACAGGAUUAGAUACCCCAGUAGUC